AAGACAAGAACAGUAUUUACAUUAUGAGAAUUUACCUACUGCUUGUAACAAUAGUACAGGCAUCCUGACAGAAAACAGACAAGGGCGCUGGGACUCAGAGAGAAACCCAGAGCUAGACCUGGUUACUUCUCUGCCCACAGGGCGUCACCAGAGCCUGUUUCCAGCCUGGGCAGCGGAGGCCCCGGAACCCCUUGAGUGAAACCCAGGAGCAACACCUUCCAGCGCCUUUAGAGAGAACUAACCGAUCCCCCCGCAGUGGCAGCGGCAACAAUCACCCGUAAUAAUGUUUCGGAACGACCCUGCGACUCCCUGGUUUAUAUCUGAUGCCAUUUAAGGAUGAGAAUAUUCAAGCCGGUCAGAAUUCCCUUUGGCAGUCACAUGAAGACUGUAGCUUUAAUAACAAGGAGGUUCAAAGUGCCUCGGUGGAUAAAAGCGAACUUCUAUUAAAGUUCUAGCACCACAGGGCUUGGGGACGUCCCUGUCGCUCCUCUGAACCUCAGUUUCCUCAUCCGCAAAAUGGAGAUUACAAUCGUACCUCUCUCCCAGCGUGCACACCAAAGAGGAAUUAAUAACUGACUCAGCAAUCGGCCAUGGCUCUGACAGAACAUGAGAGAACUUGGGUUUCAACUGAAGUG